rnacentral:rRNA from 1 species
GAUGAACGCUGGCGGCGUGCCUAAUACAUGCAAGUCGAGCGAACAGACGAGGCGCUUGCUCCUCUGACGUUAGCGGCGGACGGGUGAGUAACACGUGGAUAACCUACCUAUAAGACUGGGAUAACUUCGGGAAACCGGAGCUAAUACCGGAUAACAUGCUGAACCGCAUGGUUCAACAGUGAAAGACGGUCUUGCUGUCACUUAUAGAUGGAUCCGCGCCGCAUUAGCUAGUUGGUAAGGUAACGGCUUACCAAGGCAACGAUGCGUAGCCGACGUGAGAGGGUGAUCGGCGACACUGGAACGUAGACGCGCACCAGACUCCUACGGGAGGCAGCAGUAGGGAAUCGUCCGCAGUGGGCGGAAGCCUGACGGAGCAACGCCGCGUGAGUGAAGAAGGUCUUCGGAUCGUAAAACUCUGUUAUUAGGGAAGAACAGAUGUGGAAGGAACUAUGCACGUAUUGACGGUACCUAAUAAGAAAGCCACGGCUAACUACGUG